rnacentral:rRNA from 1 species
CCUACGGGGGGCUGCAGUGGGGAAUAUUGGACAAUGGGGGCAACCCUGAUCCAGCCAUGCCGCGUGUGUGAAGAAGGCCCUCGGGUUGUAAAGCACUUUCAGUGAGGAAGAACGCCUGGUGGUUAAUACCCAUCAGGAAAGACAUCACUCACAGAAGAAGCACCGGCUAACUCCGUGCCAGCAGCCGCGGUAAUACGGAGGGUGCGAGCGUUAAUCGGAAUUACUGGGCGUAAAGCGCGCGUAGGUGGCUUGAUAAGCCGGUUGUGAAAGCCCCGGGCUCAACCUGGGAACGGCAUCCGGAACUGUCAAGCUAGAGUACAGGAGAGGAAGGUAGAAUUCCCGGUGUAGCGGUGAAAUGCGUAGAGAUCGGGAGGAAUACCAGUGGCGAAGGCGGCCUUCUGGACUGACACUGACACUGAGGUGCGAAAGCGUGGGUAGCAAACAGGAUUAGAUACCCCGGUAGUC